ACAAUGCGGAACAAUGUUUUGCAAUUGGAUUGAGAACAACGUACAAACCUUAUCGAUAAACAAUUGGAGGGCAAGUCUGGUGCCAGCAGCCGCGGUAAUUCCAGCUCCAAUAGCGUAUAUUAACGUUGUUGCAGUUAAAAAGCUCGUAGUUGAAAUGAAGGGUAGUUGUGUAAUGAAUACAUUCGUGUAUUUUGUUAUUCAAGUACCCUCCUUCUAAAUUCGAUAUAUGAGUAUUAAUUUACUUGUAUAUGGUUUUAGACAUUUACUGUGAGAAAAUUAGAGUGUUCAAAGCAGGCAUUUGCUUGAAUAUAUUAGCAUGGAAUAAU
rnacentral:rRNA from 1 species